rnacentral:rRNA from 1 species
AGAGGGGGCAAGCGUUGCUCGGAAUUACUGGGCGUAAAGGGCGUGUAGGCGGGAUGGUAAGUCGGUCGUGAAAUCCUUCGGCUCAACCGAAGAACGUCGAUCGAUACUGCCGUUCUUGAGGGUUGCAGAGGAGACUGGAAUUCCCGGUGUAGCGGUGAAAUGUGUAGAGAUCGGGAGGAACACCGGUGGCGAAGGCGGGUCUCUGGGCAAUUCCUGACGCUGAGGCGCGAAAGCGUGGGGAGCAAACGGGAUUAGAUACCCCGGUAGUCCACGCUGUAAACGAUGACGACUAGGUGUGGGGGGUUCAGUCCCAUCCGUGCCGCAGCUAACGCAUUAAGUCGUCCGCCUGGGGAGUACGGCCGCAAGGUUG